rnacentral:rRNA from 1 species
AAAUUGAAGAGUUUGAUCAUGGCUCAGAUUGAACGCUGGCGGCAGGCCUAACACAUGCAAGUCGAGCGGAAACGAGUUGUCUGAACCUUCGGGGAACGAUAACGGCGUCGAGCGGCGGACGGGUGAGUAAUGCCUAGGAAAUUGCCCUGAUGUGGGGGAUAACCAUUGGAAACGAUGGCUAAUACCGCAUAACGCCUACGGGCCAAAGAGGGGGACCUUCGGGCCUCUCGCGUCAGGAUAUGCCUAGGUGGGAUUAGCUAGUUGGUGAGGUAAGGGCUCACCAAGGCGACGAUCCCUAGCUGGUCUGAGAGGAUGAUCAGCCACACUGGAACUGAGACACGGUCCAGACUCCUACGGGAGGCAGCAGUGGGGAAUAUUGCACAAUGGGCGCAAGCCUGAUGCAGCCAUGCCGCGUGUGUGAAGAAGGCCUUCGGGUUGUAAAGCACUUUCAGUCGUGAGGAAGGUAGUGUAGUUAAUAGCUGCAUUAUUUGACGUUAGCGACAGAAGAAGCACCGGCUAACUCCGUGCCAGCAGCCGCGGUAAUACGGAGGGUGCGAGCGUUAAUCGGAAUUACUGGGCGUAAAGCGCAUGCAGGUGGUUUGUUAAGUCAGAUGUGAAAGCCCGGGGCUCAACCUCGGAAUAGCAUUUGAAACUGGCAGACUAGAGUACUGUAGAGGGGGGUAGAAUUUCAGGUGUAGCGGUGAAAUGCGUAGAGAUCUGAAGGAAUACCGGUGGCGAAGGCGGCCCCCUGGACAGAUACUGACACUCAGAUGCGAAAGCGUGGGGAGCAAACAGGAUUAGAUACCCUGGUAGUCCACGCCGUAAACGAUGUCUACUUGGAGGUUGUGGCCUUGAGCCGUGGCUUUCGGAGCUAACGCGUUAAGUAGACCGCCUGGGGAGUACGGUCGCAAGAUUAAAACUCAAAUGAAUUGACGGGGGCCCGCACAAGCGGUGGAGCAUGUGGUUUAAUUCGAUGCAACGCGAAGAACCUUACCUACUCUUGACAUCCAGAGAACUUUUCAGAGAUGAAUUGGUGCCUUCGGGAACUCUGAGACAGGUGCUGCAUGGCUGUCGUCAGCUCGUGUUGUGAAAUGUUGGGUUAAGUCCCGCAACGAGCGCAACCCUUAUCCUUGUUUGCCAGCGAGUAAUGUCGGGAACUCCAGGGAGACUGCCGGUGAUAAACCGGAGGAAGGUGGGGACGACGUCAAGUCAUCAUGGCCCUUACGAGUAGGGCUACACACGUGCUACAAUGGCGCAUACAGAGGGCAGCCAACUUGCGAAAGUGAGCGAAUCCCAAAAAGUGCGUCGUAGUCCGGAUUGGAGUCUGCAACUCGACUCCAUGAAGUCGGAAUCGCUAGUAAUCGUGGAUCAGAAUGCCACGGUGAAUACGUUCCCGGGCCUUGUACACACCGCCCGUCACACCAUGGGAGUGGGCUGCAAAAGAAGUAGGUAGUUUAACCUUCGGGAGGACGCUUACCACUUUGUGGUUCAUGACUGGGGUGAAGUCGUAACAAGGUAGCGCUAGGGGAACCUGGCGCUGGAUCACCUCCUUAUACGAUGAU